GACGAACGCUGGCGGCGUGCUUAACACAUGCAAGUCGUACGGUAAGGCCCUUUCGGGGGUACACGAGUGGCGAACGGGUGAGUAACACGUGAGUAACCUGCCCACAACUUUGGGAUAACGCUAGGGAACUGGUGCUAAUACUGGAUAUGUGCUCCUGCUGCAUGGUGGGGGUUGGAAAGCUCCGGCGGUUGUGGAUGGACUCGCGGCCUAUCAGCUUGUUGGUGGGGUAGUGGCCUACCAAGGCGGCGACGGGUAGCCGGCCUGAGAGGGUGACCGGCCACAUUGGGACUGAGAUACGGCCCAGACUCCUACGGGAGGCAGCAGUGGGGAAUAUUGCACAAUGGGCGCAAGCCUGAUGCAGCAACGCCGCGGGCGGGAUGACGGCCUUCGGGUUGGAAACCGCUUUCAGCAGGGACGAAGCUUUUUGUGACGGUACCUGCAGAAGAAGCACCGGCUAACUACGUG
rnacentral:rRNA from 1 species